rnacentral:tRNA from 2 species
AUUUAAAUAGCUUAAUUAGAGCAUGAUAUUGAAGCUAUCAAGGUGAUUUUAAAUCUUUAAAUA